AUUAAUACAGCAUCUUGUGUGUUAUUUGGGGACUACAAGGCAGCAGAGCCCAGGCGACUGGUGGGGAAAAACCAAAGCGGCUGGCGAGGAAAAGGCUUCAUUCAACACUAUUGCUUCUUGAGUUUUAUGCACUUGCGACUUGACCAUACCAGAUGUAUUUCUUCCUUGGCAUAACAUCACAUCUCUAACCAAGCUACACAGACAAGGCCGAAUGUUCACUUCAGGUGUAGUAUUUACAAUACUACAAGGUAUUUAACAAGAUAGUCUUAAGUUUCUAGGCAAUGGCAACCAUGAAAGCGGUACUGAGAGCCCCAUGACUUGCAUGCAAGAGAGCAUAUGAGCGGUGCCAAGUUCAAUAAAUUGAGCUAUCAUGAAUAAGCAUCUAACGGGAGGGAGGAGCGCCAGCAGUAAGCAAGCAACUGUACACACCUACACAUCCUAACGGACUGGAAGCCUGCUCUUGUCGCUAAAUGCAGAGGAGGGUGUUCUGAACAUAUUAAAGAGAAACAAUAUGGUGGCUAUAUGAUCUGACCUAUUAACACAACACCUUGAAAUGUGUUUUCCGGGUUUCCUCCCUUCUCUGAAUUUUUCCGAGAUCGUCAGUGAUGUCCCACAGAAAGUAGAUCUGUCAGACCCGAAGAACAUUUCUGUCUGCCCCCACACACAAUUUUCAACCAAGGCAAGGAUAUGAAUUGUACAAGCUAAAGUGAG